rnacentral:rRNA from 1 species
GACGAACGCUGGCGGCGUGCUUAACACAUGCAAGUCGUACGGUAAGGCCCUUUCGGGGGUACACGAGUGGCGAACGGGUGAGUAACACGUGAGUAACCUGCCCACAACUUUGGGAUGACGCUAGGAAACUGGUGCUAAUACUGGAUAUGUGCUCCUGCUGCAUGGUGGGGGUUGGAAAGCUCCGGCGGUUGUGGAUGGACUCGCGGCCUAUCAGCUUGUUGGUGGGGUAGUGGCCUACCAAGGCGGCGACGGGUAGCCGGCCUGAGAGGGUGACCGGCCACAUUGGGACUGAGAUACGGCCCAGACUCCUACGGGACGCAGCAGUGGGGAAUAUUGCACAAUGGGCGCAAGCCUGAUGCAGCAACGCCGCGUGCGGGAUGACGGCCUUCGGGUUGUAAACCGCCUUCAGCAGGGACGAAGCUUUUUGUGACGGUACCUGCAGAAGAAGCACCGGCUAACUACGUG